GUUGUUUUAUAUUUUAUUUUAUUACUUUAUUUUUUCAUUGUUGCUUUUUAAAACUUAGACAUCUUUUUCCUUAAAAGUGAUAGAAUUAGUCCACCUCCAAUGGCAUCUUACACAGAACCUCAUUAAAUAAUGCAGGGGAAAUUGGAGCUGGUCUGGUGAGUUAUCUGGUCUUCCCUCCGCCUCAUUACGUAUAACCCAUUUCCCACACCAGCGCCUGAGAGGAGCGUAAGGCCUCAGGAAGCCCAUUUAUAACCACUAGCUUCAAGUACUGUAGGCACCUGUUAAAUUGUAACCUGAAGGUAGACUGUGUGAAACCAUCAUCAGGCAUUCAUACCUUAUUUGGAAGGGAUUUAUAUGAUUUCCUGCCCAGUGAGCAAUCAGAUAUCCAAAGGUGAGGAUAUAUCUUGGAAGCAGAAGCAAGUUAGGAAAAGGUUCAGGGCAUUGGACCCAGCCUUUGGGGGCAGUCUUUGUUUGUGAUGGUUUUGAGAAUGACCUUUCCCCAUCUUCCAGAAGCAAGCAGCAUAAGGCUUGGCAGGAAGGUACGAGUCCUGGGAAGGAUAUACCUACACCUGGGGUCACGACUUCAAAUGCCUGCAAUGCCAGCUCUCUCGGUUACUCCAUGAACACGGCAUGUGAAGGCUGUUCUGCAGUUUGCCAGUCUCUACUGCCUCGCUUCGAGCCACCUGCAGUGAUACGCCUGGCUGUGUCUGAAUGUCAGGCCUAGAUUCCUGAGGGAGCGAACCUGACAGAAAGAGCUAUUAAAGCAGAAAAUUCAAGCGUGCAAACAGCCAAAGCCCAGCCAGGCAUUUGUGGCGACAUUAGAAUAUCUCGUAGCCAUCAGUAAGUACUUAGAUGUGAAACUGGGUGGGGGGGGGACGCCAAAGGAUUCCCAUUAUCUCCCCUUUGCAGAGCGAGCUGGGUCACCCUGACUGGCAUGUGUGGGCUGCGGGGGUUCCCGGAGUGCACCCACCUGCUGCCCCUGACUCUGACCAGCAGCAGUGAGAGCUGAGGGUCCGCCUUCCACAUCCAGGAUCUGGACACACCAGACCUGGGAGGUGGACUCAGACUUCUUCCAGGACACCUGGCUCGGUUAGCACUGCUUUCCCUUACCACCCUCCUCUUCUUGAUCUUUCUCUCUCUCUCUCCUCCUGCACCCUCUUGCUCCUCUUUCUCACCCCUUCCCACUUCCUUUCUCCCUCCUCCUCCUCUAGACCUCGCUUAUU
rnacentral:lncRNA from 1 species